GACGAACGCUGGCGGCGUGCUUAACACAUGCAAGUCGAACGGAAAGGCCCUGCUUUUGUGGGGUGCUCGAGUGGCGAACGGGUGAGUAACACGUGAGUAACCUGCCCUUGACUUUGGGAUAACUUCAGGAAACUGGGGCUAAUACCGGAUAGGAGCUCCUGCUGCAUGGUGGGGGUUGGAAAGUUUCGGCGGUUGGGGAUGGACUCGCGGCUUAUCAGCUUGUUGGUGGGGUAGUGGCUUACCAAGGCUUUGACGGGUAGCCGGCCUGAGAGGGUGACCGGCCACAUUGGGACUGAGAUACGGCCCAGACUCCUACGGGAGGCAGCAGUGGGGAAUAUUGCACAAUGGGCGGAAGCCGUAUGCAGCAACGCCGCGUGCGGGAUGACGGCCUUCGGGUUGUAAACCGCUUUCGCCUGUGACGAAGCGUGAGUGACGGUAAUGGGUAAAGAAGCACCGGCUAACUACGUG
rnacentral:rRNA from 1 species